ACCGCCGUUCCUCCUAUGCGGAGCGGCCGAGGCCACACGGACAGCCGGGUCGAAUGCCGA
rnacentral:sRNA from 1 species